rnacentral:lncRNA from 1 species
GUUUUUUUAGGUUUUCAUACCAACACAAUUCUACAUUUUUAAAACAAUUAGGACUACAAACAAGGCUCCAGUACAAAAGGGUGGGUAAUUCUUUAUCCCUGGUCCUUAAUGUUAUAUAAAACUAUAAAACAACUUCCCAUAAAAUGCACUCCAUGCUGCAGUCAAAGGACAUAUGAGUUCCAAGUGUUUACCACUAAGCCAAUGGUUAACAAACCUCAAAGUCUCACACCCUAAGUGGGAACAAUUUCACAGAAACCACAAGAACUUGAAAUAACUUAACAAUAAAUGAAAUAUAUCCAAUCAUCUACACUCCCUCUCAAAUUCCAAACAAUGAGGCUUAUUGAACUAUACCCUUAGAAUCAACUUUAAAUCUCUGUAUGAUUCACCUGAAUCAUACAUGGUCAAUAGUUAUAAAUCCAGGUAGAAAAAGCACAUAAAAUUAUUCACAAGUGAAAACACUUCAAACAAAAGAAAUGUUUUAAAAAAAAAUCCAGAUAAUAUUAAAAGGAAAUACACUGAAUUUUAAAACAUUGUUUUGGACUAUUAUAUAAAAUAC